CCUACGGGAGGCAGCAGUGGGGGAUAUUGCACAAUGGGGGAAACCCUGAUGCAGCGACGCCGCGUGUGGGAAGACGGUCCUCUGGAUUGUAAACCACUGUCGCCAGGGAAGAAGAUGACGUAACCUGGGGAGGAAGCUCCGGCAAACUACUUCCAAGCGGCCCAGUUAAAACGAAGGGGGCGACGUUUGUCCGAUAUUACUGGGGUAAAGGGGAGCGUAGGCGGGGAUGAAGUUUGGGUUGAAAUGCUGGCGGUUCAACUGGGAGUCGCACUGGAAACUGUGGAGCUUGAGUGCAGGAGAGGCAGGCGGAAUUCCUAGUGUAGCGGUGAAAUGCGUAGAUAUUAGGAGGAACACCAGUGGCGAAGGCGGCCUACUGGGCUUUUACUGACGCUGAGGCUCGAAAGUGUGGGGAGCAAACAGGAUUAGAUACCCGAGUAGUC
rnacentral:rRNA from 1 species